rnacentral:rRNA from 1 species
AAUGAACGCUGGCGGCAUGCCUAACACAUGCAAGUCGAACGAGAUCUUCGGAUCUAGUGGCGCACGGGUGAGUAACGCGUGGGAACCUACCUUUUAGUACGGGACAACGUUUGGAAACGAACGCUAAUACCGUAUACGCCCUCCGGGGGAAAGGUCAGCCGCUGAAAGAAGGGCCCGCGUCUGAUUAGCUUGUUGGUAAGGUAACGGCUUACCAAGGCAACGAUCAGUAGCUGGUCUGAGAGGAUGAUCAGCCACACUGGGACUGAGACACGGCCCAAACUCCCUUGGGAGGCAGCAGUGAGGAAUAUUGGACAAUGGACGAAAGUCUGAUCCAGCAAUGUUGCGUGAGUGAAGAAGGCUAUUUAGGUUGUAAAACUCUUUCAGUGGAAAAGAUAAUGACUUCUCGCAAAAGAAGUCCCGGCUAACUCCG